GUUUAUCAAAAACAUGUCCUAUAGUUAUUAAUUUUAGGUCUAGCCUGCUCAAUGAUUUAUUAAAUAGCCGCAGUAUAUUAACUGUGCAAAGGUAGCAUAAUCAUUUGUCUCUUAAUUGGGGACUUGUAUGAAUGGUUGAACGUGGAAUAAACUUUCUUUGCUUAAUUUAAUUGAAUUUGAUUUUUUAGUUAAAAAGCUAAAAUAUUAUUGUUAGACGAGAAGACCCUAUAGAAUUUUAUUACAAAUUAUUAUUUUAUUAUUGUUUUGUAAUAAAAUAAAAGCUUGUAAUUUUGUUGGGGUGACUUUGAAAUUUUUUUAACUUUCAAUUUAAAUUUUUCAUUAAUUUAUGUUAAAUUGAUCCUUUAAUAUGGAUAACAAGUUUAAAUUACCUUAGGGAUAACAGCGUAAUUUUUUUGGAGAGUUCCUAUCGAUAAAAAAGUUUGCGACCUCGAUGUUGGAUUAAAUUAAAGAUUUGGUGUAGCAGCUAAAUUCUUAGGUCUGUUCGACCUUUAAAGAUUUACNUGAUCUGAGUUCAACCGGA
rnacentral:rRNA from 1 species